GGGAUUAUCGGAGAUCAAAAACAGCAAGGGGUACUAGUGGUAGUGAAGCCAUCAGGCAAGAAUACAAAUGUUUCUGAUAUGAAUCCUUAGUAAUUUUCCCCGUCUCACAAUCUUGGUUUACAAGUGGCUAUGGAAUGGGCCAGCACAAUUUGCAACCUGGAUCGGAGAGAUUACAAGGUCACAAAUAGGAUUGGGGUAUAAGAAUUGGAAAGAGGUUCCUGAAGAUUACAACAUUUGGAACUCUGUUCAACACAAAAGUGUUUGGGCACCGGCGCUGUU